UUAAAUUGAAGAGUUUGAUCAUGGCUCAGAUUGAACGCUGGCGGCAGGCCUAACACAUGCAAGUCGAACGGUAACAGGAAACAGCUUGCUGUUUCGCUGACGAGUGGCGGACGGGUGAGUAAUGUCUGGGAAACUGCCUGAUGGAGGGGGAUAACUACUGGAAACGGUAGCUAAUACCGCAUAACGUCGCAAGACCAAAGAGGGGGACCUUCGGGCCUCUUGCCAUCGGAUGUGCCCAGAUGGGAUUAGCUAGUAGGUGGGGUAACGGCUCACCUAGGCGACGAUCCCUAGCUGGUCUGAGAGGAUGACCAGCCACACUGGAACUGAGACACGGUCCAGACUCCUACGGGAGG
rnacentral:rRNA from 1 species